ACAUUUCUUCUUUGGUGACUGUUCAGCUUCCCUUCUCUGCCUGGUGUAAAGAAAUGUGUCCGUCUGAAUCCAGUCCAGAAGGGGCCCCACGCCUUACGCCUGCCCCUCCCCAUGGCACUCUGGUACGUGUCCUAACUGACCUCCGCUCUGACUUGGUCAGUCCGAAUGCGCCAGUGGACUGACCUACGCAGCCACUGCCGACAGGAGCACCAGAUUCCUCUAUAUCUUUUGUCUGGAUGUGAGCCCCACAGUAACUGCAAGUUGGAUAUUAUAAGAGGACUGCACACAGAACACUGUAUUUAGGGAAGAUACUCAGAAGAGACCGGACUCCAGAAUGUUAGGAUUUUAGGAGACUUUGGGGCCACCUUUACAUAUUUGGAAACUGAGACCCACAGAAUUUAAGGGGUCUUGCCAGCCAACCGCUGGACGGGGAGGACAGCACCAGAUCUAAAACUUGCUUCUUCCAAAUCCUUAUCAUACUGCAGACACCUCGGCCCUCUAUCAUGAGGAAACACACCAUUAGGAAUGAAUGAAUAUACAACUAAUUUUAAGGCUGCAUCUACAUAUCACGGAGCGGGAACCCAGACACCAUAUGGGUAGCUUCAUCUACGGGAACAAAUAAAUCAAUUCUUAACACGAAUUUUUUUUCUGAGUGUGGGGGCGGAGGUGGGUAUUGGCUCCCUUCCUCAAACGUGCUUGUUUUUAUCUUGAUCAAAUUACCAAGCAGCAAAGUAAAUUUACUAAUUUACUAAUUUACUUUGCUCUACUCUAUGGAGGGGAAGAAAAUGAGAGAGAGAGAGAGAGAGAGAGAGAGAGAGAGAACGUAUAUACAAAGAAAGCGGAACAAAGAACAAGGGCAAAUAUUUGGAUAAAGGAAGCCAAAUAAAACUGUCAUGCGAAGACUGGGCCUGAAUUACAGCCAGACGGUGGCCCCUCCACGCACCUCGGUUCCCGGGCACGUGACCUUGACAGCUCCCCCAAAACGCAAGAGUUUAAGCAUCUGAGAUGGGUUUGACAUCGCCUCCCAGCUCUAGGGAGCAGGAAAGUUUCUGAUUCUGGGUGAUUUUUAAAGGGGAAAAAAAUAUACGCGGAUGAUUUAAUUACCAACCCUUGAACCGAUUUAUUUUCCACACCAACAGCAAAGUCAUACAAGCCGGUGACACAAGUCAAGUGAUUCCUCGUUAAAUGUGGGAGAUGAAGAGGAGAGAGGGGGGGAAACAAAGCUCUGACUUCAUCUUAUGGCUCCCAGCCAGGCUGCAAAGAAGGAAUCUGUGAAAUUCAAGAUGUCAAAAGCACAGCAAGGAAUCCAAAGAAGUUGGUGACUGCACUUCUGUGAGUCUUCGCUGCAAAUAUUCAAGUGACUCAUAGCCUACAGAUGCCCUUUCAGAGCUUGUUCAGGCUGUACGGCUGGCAUGGUGAGAAUCAGUCAAGAUAGGCUACGGCUGUUCUGUGCUACAGACAGACGUUUCUUUGACACUCGCCUUACCAGUGUUCCACCUACCACACCACGUGGCCUUCACGGACUCUGCUGGAAACAAAUGCCUUGAGAAUCCUUGGUCGUGUGGACAUCUGCUAGUUUUGCAUGAGGGACGUCAAUCCCUUUAUUUGGUGGUAAUAACACUUUAAUUUACUUGUUGGGGAACCAUCUCCCCAAAAUCAAUCUGAUCUUUCAAGGAAGGCUGCCCCCUGCCCCAGGCUCCAAGGUUGGUACUCCGAGCAAAUCAACGGUAAUUUCCUCUUCUCCCAGGAAAGUGAUUCACUCAGUGAGGGAUAUGUGAUCUGGACCAGGCCAAUGAGACCCAGUUCUGCCAUGGAGUAUUCAGCUAUGUGAGUUCCUCUGUUGGCUUAAGACCAUGUCAUCAGCUAUUGGAAUUCCUACACAUACAUCAAGAAACAUAUCUGAACGCUGUCUAUGUCACAGUCAUUAUUUUAGGAUAGACCCUACCUGGAGAUUCCAAGUGCUGUGGCAUGGUUGUAGACCAGGAUGUAAGCAUGGGGACUUCUAUCUAAUGGAUGACUGUUUUCUACUUUGGUCAAUCCUGAAAGCCAGCCUUGAUCUCCAGACCCAAAUGACCACAGCGACAUAAACUGAUUAGAAGAUCAGCCUUACAAAAUCCCUGACUUCCUUGGCUCGGAGGGAUGGGUCAGUAAAACAUACAAGAGUGAGGCUUAGGGGACCUCAACGGUGGGUCGCCUUUUCUGGGUGGUGAACUGUUCCUCUCUUCCUACCUGAAUCACAGGCUGAGGGGGCCCUGCAUUAUCACAGGCUGACGGAAGGGGUGGCUGAAUGAGCCCUGUUCUCAGUCCUUCUACUUCUAAGAUCUCAGUUGUUAGAGAUCUUAAGGAGCACAGCACUGUCUGGAUCAGCAGGGGCUGAGUUUUCUCAUUCAGAUCAGUCCAGGCAGAACUGAUUCGGCAAGGGU